CGCUAUGACUUUGUAAAUUUUAGAAGUGUUUAUGGAAACAUGAGCUCAUGUCUUUAUUGUUUUCCCUCCUCCAUGAAGGGAUAGCAGGAAGAAGGGACCCUCUCUCUUUCAGAAGGACAAGAGCUGCCUUCUGUGGCCUAGAACGCUUCACCUAUGAGAACAUACUCUUUCAGCCACCCCCAGAAUAUAAAAAGUAAGUUCUUGAGCCGGACUAAAGAUGGUGGCUUAGAGACAGCAACAGUUCAAACCUCCAUAAAUCCACCUCACUGAUCAAAAACACAAUGCUCCGAAGGAUCUGAAAACCAAAUCUAAUAACAGGACAGAGCUAGGGAACCCUCCUCUUGGACCCAACUUAAAAGGUAUGCCCCCCCCCAAAAAAAGACUGAAUUCUAGAACACACAGGUUUAAAGGGAAAGAAGAAAGAAGGUCACAGGACCCCUCCCCCACCUAAAGCUCUGAGCCUCCAGCAAUGGCUGGAAUCUCUGGGUGGACAAGGGCACUAGUCCAGAGGGAGUACUUUGCUGGCAAAGCUGUGCCAGGCUCAGGGUAUAGAAAACAGGUGGGGUAGAAACAACUGGAGGAGAAGCACAGAGCAAGCAGCCUAGACACAGCCAAGACUCUCCAUCUUGCCCCUCCUCCACCUUCUUUUCUGGAGGUUUUGGUCUUAUGGCACAAUCAGCUGUGCAGAUCAACUCCUCCCUGGCUCAAUCUCAUCAAUAUGGCAGAUAAGAAGCCUUCAGAGGGCUGGGAAGCUUGACCUCCAACACCCCUCCCCCACAGACUGAUCUGAGAGCUGUGCUGACUAAGCUCCAAGGGCAAAAGUUGCAACAAACUACAGGCAACAACCUUGACAAUAGGACAGGAAGCCCAGGUCUUUUUCAGCUUCUGCUGUCAACCAGAGAAAAUCUAACUAACCUAAUCAAUCAGCAGAACAAAGAAGAAGCCCCUUCAGGACAGAACAGCCCAAACUGAUAGAUACAGCACAUAAUGAGAGGAGCAAGACUACAGGCAACUACAGGGGGAAAAUAAGGGGCAAAUAUGAGUAAACAACAGAAAAAGAAAAAAGAAAUUACAAUCCGCAGCUUCUAUCCAAGAAAUGAAUAAAGAGCAAAUGGAACAGAGGAGGAUCA
rnacentral:lncRNA from 1 species